ACUCGACACUAACAUGUAAAAACAUGUAGGAUCAUGUCAUGUUAGGAUCAUUUUUAUGUUGUUUCUAAUUUUACAGAAGCAUUGUAGUGACAUCAUUCCACAUAGAAGAGACCUCAUCAUUGUGACUUUCCACAUGUCUCCAGUUUGGGGCACUCACUUCAUUACAGUAUGUGAGUCUUGGGAAUGUGGCGAUUGUAAAGUGUGUGGCACAGAAGUAUCCAGUAGGUAUGAGUUAUUGAAACUAAUUCUAAGCUCAAACAUGGACAUUUUGGGGCUAGGUUCAGGCAUCCUAUGCAGCAUACCCCUCUGCUGUGAGUAAGACAUAAAUGCUGAAAUGUGAAAACCUGUUGUAUGUAUAAAAAAGUGUUUAAUACCUGAUGUAUUUGAAGUAAAAGAACUGCUUUUCUUUUUUCUCUUAUAUUUUAUUUCAUUGCAUUUUCUCUAAGGGUCCUUGUUGUUUCAAUUGUUUUAAACAAAUAUUUAGGAGGAGAAGGGACCAUUUACAUUUGUGUUUUGUGUUAUAGAU